UAACCAAACAAAAAAACCAUUAAGGUAAAUCAUUUCCAAAUUAGUGCUGAAAAGAUUGACAGUUACAUAUACGGAAUAGUAAUGGUCAAUGGUAGUGACUACUAGUUCUUGUGGGUAUAGAAAUAUAAAAUAUUAAUAAAUUAUACAUUGUCCAUUAAUUUGACGCCAUUGAGACGGAUAUUAUUAAUGACUUGAAAAAAUGCCGGUUGACCGGAAUGAAAUUCAAAAAUGAGUGAGUGUACAUGCAUGCACGCGUGCGGUUUGCCAUCCCACGGCACAGCUAGGGAUCAAAUGAAAAGGAAUUCCAAAAGCGACGGCAGGCAAUAAUCAAGAAAACUAUUUCAUCACAUUGCUUAGGAAUUAUGUAGUCUAUGUAGCACUGCAGCAAAUCUUAUUUCGGUUCGUUAAUAUAACGUGGAUUCCUCAUUUUCCCUCUUUUUUUUGUUUUUUUUUUUAUUUUAAGUUUUUCCUAUUAGACAAAUUAGCUGUCAUUGAGCGUUUAGUUUUCUAUUAAUAGGAGUCGAUGACUGUUGUUGAUAUUUGUUUGUGGUGGUGCUUAAUUUAUUUUUACCUCCAUUGAAUCGAAUCUAGUAAAAUAAUAAUUAUUAAUAAAUAAUAAUAUAAACUUUAUAUCAAAGUGUAUAUUUUUGAUACGUCUUAUAAAGUGGUAUAUUUAACUGGCCGGGAUCGAAGGAAACGAGUUUUUGUGUUAGUGUGUGAGUGUAGUAUCUGUGUGCCUUUUUCACACUCAUUUUUUCUUUAAAGGUUUUAGUUCUUUUUCCUCUAAAGAGCAGAAGAGGUUUCUAAUCUGGAAUAAUGAGCUCAAAUAACAUGAUACAUUGUCCAGAUCCGGACGAAAUACCCAUUUGUCCAUCUCGAAUACCCUGCAUGCUCAAUCCAGACUAUAUUGUACAAGAACGUCCUUCAAAUGGACCUCCAAGUUAUAUAGACUCCUUCACCAUCUCAGUGUUAUUAAACAUAUUCCUUCUGGCCCUAACGACAUUUCUUAUCUACCGGUCAUCAAGAAGGAAAGACAGAAGGGAGUAUAAUCUACCACAUUCUUCUUCCGCCUCUCAUCUUAAACUUCCAUUCCAUCACACCUCUUCCAUACUUUCUCUGGAAGAGGAGGAUAGGAUCUCCAUAGCUACUGUAUAAAUGAAAAUGUUAAAAAAAAACCAAGUCCUCUGGUUUAACAAGUGUUCCUAUCCCAAGGAUUGUCCCCAAUCGUAGUCGUCGCCAAGAGACGAUACAAGUGCUAUUUUUGUAACUCUUAGGCCCUGACUCCACGUGCAGUCACUCAAAUCUUGAAUCUCACGUGUGCUACUCAUCCAUAAAACUAUUUAUAAAUGUGCUAAUUUAUAUAAAUAGCUACUAUCAUCAUUAUACAAUUUAAUUUUGUCGAAUGUUCAUGAGAAUUGCAUAUACAUACAUACAUAUGUAUCGUGCAAGAGUCCAAAACUGUCAGAAGAGAUGUGCAGAUGCGUGUACAAUCUAUUCCUAAACUUUUUUUCUCAUUUUAGUCAUUAUACAAAUAUAUUUUAUAUAUUUCAUAUUCAUUAUUAUUUGUAAUUGUUCCUAGAAAACUUGUAUAAUUUAUAUUAUUUUCUUACUCAAAGAAUCUCUAUCUUUUUUUUUAUUAUAUGAAAUAUUAAUUUAAAUAAAAUCAUUUGAAACGAAUUUGUUAAAUUGUCUGCAUAGAGUAAAGUAUAUAACAUAAACAUUCUUGCUUACUUUAUUAUCUAUAAUAUUUGUCAAUUGAAUAAAAAUAUCUUAUAUGUAUAUUGUAUACACACUUUAAACUAGUUUCUGGUGUUUUUCUCGUAAUUCUUGGAAAAUAUAAGGAACGAGACAAUUAUCCUUGAUGUUAAAAAGUAUUCACGUGUAUUCUGCCAUUUAUCUCGCUAGCUCUCUAUGGGGAAGUCCAAAUCAAUGAUUACUUAUGUAAUUAAUGUGAGGAUUUGGAUAAAUUGUUUAUUCUUAAACCAUCUUGGUUUUAUUGUUAGUUACGAGGCUCUGUUAUCUAUUCAUUUAAACAAAUAUAUAUGUAAAACCUGAAUUGGUUAUCCCAGCUAAAAAUUCUAUAACACAAUUAAAUACUCUACCUCUUUUGGUUUCCAACACAUGAUCCUUGAAAUGGAAAAAAAAUUGAAAUACACACAUGUAUAGAAGUUUAUACAAAGACAUUUUUGAUUUAUGGGGUUUAAGUUGAUUGACGGUCCACGAAGUAAAAAUUGCAAUUUGUAAAAGAUAUACCUAUAUAUAUAUAUAUAAACAUUUAUAAAUAUCAUCAACAAAGGCAAAAAAAUAAAAUUUGGUAUUGAUGCUGGAGAUCCUUUCAUUUUCAAUGCUUGAUUUUUUAUUGUAUAAGCAAACAUUUUAUUAUUUUUACACAAUAUCGAUGUAAUUAAUCUUUUUUGUCACAAUUACAGGGUUUCAAUGAUUAUUUAUAGAGUUAAUAUAAAUAUCUAGUCACAACUUUCGACUUUUGUGUAGAGGACAAUACCCAGAUUUAGAAAUAAGUUUAGUUUAUUUUUAAUUUGCCAUUUUUGUACAAAUUCUAGCUUAAAUGAGCAAUCUGUCCUAAAAAUGAGGUACAUAACAGGGAAUGGACAAAUGUCGGGAAAGAUCAAUAUCUGCGAGAUGGUGCAGAUAUAAUAAAUUAUCAAAUAAGUAUACAAACAGCUAAUAGCUGCAAGAUAGCGUCACUAUAUCGAGUAGGGAUGUUGGAUCGGUCUAAAAAAACUAGAAAGACUACAAUCCUAUCAAUCUGGUGUUAAUGAACUUUAUCAGUCCUAGAACCUGUCCUUAUCGAUCUUUUAUGGUAACUUCAACAGCUGAAAUUACCUAAUUUACUAACUACGUAACAGGAUGGUUAUUAUAAUUUAUAUGUACUUGGUAUCAUUAAUAAUUUUUCCUCGUUUUUAUGCUCUUCAAUUCUUGGUAGGAGUGGAGAAAAUACAUUAGGAAAUCAAGUCCUGGGAUGGAUCCAACUUUACCGAUUUUAAAUCAAGAAUUUAGAGUACAGAUGAUAAGGAUAAUGUUCAAGACUUAAUGGCAAAAAGUUGAUUUGAUCAAUGAUGGAAAUACCCAUGACUUCCUAAAAAUAAAAGACAAAAAAUACAAAAUUGAACAAUACAUCUGAUUAUUUAUGAUGAUGUUUUUUGGGUUAAAAUAAUGGGAGGAAGUCAGUAAAUAAAAGAAUCCAGGUGUUGGCCAUCUGGGUUUGUUGUUGUGAAAUCCGUUGAGAGCAUUGUAAUGUCUAUAUAGAAUUAAGGCCAGAUGAGACUCGUCUCGUACUAACAUACAUACCUAGGCUUUUUAACUGAAAGAGGACUCCAACAUCUAUAAUAUAAGGAAAAAACCGGCUCAAUAUCUUGGUGAGAAUUCCUUAAUUACAAUUAUAUGAGUAUGAGUUAGAUAAAUGAAGCGAAAAAUCCAAAGAGAAACAAAUCGUUUUAUAGUUACGUAACUCAUAUAGAAUUUGAAGUUUUUUGGAUAAUUUCCAAGGAACUGGUGCUCCAACAACAACAACACCUCCGCCACCAUCUCUCUAGCCCAGGCUAUGCAGUCUUCUCAAGUUGAUAAAUGACACUCAAUCAAUAAAGUUGCAUUUAAUUAUAUAAUUAAAAGAUUGACUCAUGAUCCUUAAUCUUCAUAAAGGGACUUCCCCUACCUUAGAAAUCUAAUAACAACAUGAGUAAUAUUAUUUGAUAUCACGGAUUUUGUUUGUAUCUCUCUCUACAAAUUGGGUUUUCCUUACUUUGUGUUAUUUAUAAUUGAAUAUUGAUUCAUAUGACAUUCAUUAGAUAUAUCUGUGCAAAUAUAAAG
rnacentral:lncRNA from 1 species